rnacentral:rRNA from 1 species
UACGGAGGGUGCAAGCGUUAUCCGGAUUCACUGGGUUUAAAGGGUGCGUAGGUGGGCCUGUAAGUCAGCGGUGAAAUCUCCGGGCUUAACCCGGAAACUGCCAUUGAUACUAUAGGUCUUGAAUUAUCUGGAGGUAAGCGGAAUAUGUCAUGUAGCGGUGAAAUGCUUAGAUAUGACAUAGAACACCGAUUGCGAAGGCAGCUGGCUACAGGAAUAUUGACACUGAGGCACGAAAGCGUGGG